GUCGCUUGCAUGGGGGCAUUUUUUGGCGUGGUUUUUGCCUCUGUUGAGAUUGGUCUUUUAAUCGCGGUAAGGGCAUUCAGCAACUUAACUGUUUACUUGAGAAAAAUUAUCGUCAUUCAACAACCUGAGCUGAUAAUAUUUAUCAAUAAAUAGGUGACAAUAUCAUUUGCUAAGAUUCUCCUCCAAGUCACAAGGCCGCGAACAGCUACUCUUGGUAGGAUACCCCGGACAAAUGUAUAUAGAAACAUUCAGCAAUACCCCGAGGCAACAAAAAUUCCUGGUGUAUUGAUUGUGAGAGUAGAUUCAGCUAUAUACUUCUCAAACUCUAACUAUAUAAAGGAAAGGUAGGACACUUCUCUUACUUUAAUCUGAAGAAUUUUUAUAGGGGUGCCAAAUGGGCGGGUUGGGUCAAUUUUGGACGGGUCAAAAGUUACUUGGGCUAAGAUGAGUUGAGUCAAGAUGGGUUAAAAUUCGAGUCAUAACCCAUCCCGACCAGCUCUUAUUAAACUUUAAUUAAUAUGUGUUAUUUUCUUAUAAAUUGUAUAAUUACUAAAUAAAGAUUUUUUGCUUAUGGUCAUAUUUAAAAUAUUAAACAAAAAAUAAAAUUAUUUCUAAGAUAUUUUGACAAACUUACUCAUAGAUCAAUUUGGGCUAAAAAUUAACCCAACUAUAAAUGAGUUGAGAUGGAUUGGGUCAAGAUGGGCUAAGUUCAAUAAAUGGGCGGGUGAAUAACCAACUCAACCUUGAGCGAGUCAUUUGGGCAUGGGCCAAAUUUGACAGCCCUAAUUUUUUUAUAUUGACAAGAAAUAGCUAGGAACUUAACAACUAACUUGUUAUUCAGGAUAUUGAGAUGGUUAACGGAUGAGGAAGAACAAGUAAAAGCAGCUGGCCUUCCUAAAAUUCAAUUCUUGAUUGUUGAGAUGUCACGUAAGUAGAGUUUACCUUAAUUUGUCGCUGAAAUUAAGAGCAUGUUAUCCUACUUAGAGCUCGUGUUUCUUCUCUUCUACUUGCAGCUGUUACUGACAUUGACACCAGUGGCAUCCAUGCCUUGGAAGAGUUGCUCAGAAGCCUAAAAAAGAGAGGUGUUCAGGUAAUAACAACAACAACAAAAAAUUGCCCAGUAUAGUUCCACUGGGGACUCCUCGUGUUUCUUACCUUGUUCAUUUCUUGAACAGCUUGUUCUCUCGAACCCGGGAAGAGUGGUGAUUGACAAGCUACAUGCAUCGAAUUUUCCAAGUCAAAUCGGCGAGGACAAGAUAUUUCUCACAGUUGCAGAUGCUGUUCUAACCUGUUCACCAAAAUUGCCAGAGGAAGUUUAACAUUGUAAAGAAUGGAUGCAAAAGAAAGGGGGAGGAGAAGAAAAAUCAACCACAAGUAGAACGAGGGACCAAAAUUGAAUAGAGUAUAUAUAGAGUGAUAAAUAAAGGCAUAGGUUUCUAUUUUUAGUGAGUGGUGGGAUCCUCAGAAAAGUGAUAUGAUAUGAUACUAAUCUAAAACAGAUGGUGGUCCUAGCCAAUUGCGAUAAUGAGUACAUGUUAGCCAUGCUUUUAACUUUUAUGGUUAAAAUACAGUCGCCCGUAAGAUUUACCUUGUCUUUCUUGUUUUUGC
rnacentral:lncRNA from 1 species